rnacentral:rRNA from 1 species
CGGGACCGCACAAGCGGUGGAUGAUGUGGUUAAUUCGAUGCAACGCGAAAACCUUACCACCUUUGACAUGUACGGAAUCCUUUAGAGAUAGAGGAGUGCUCGAAAGAGAGCCGUAACACAGGUGCUGCAUGGCUGUCGUCAGCUCGUGUCGUGAGAUGUUGGGUUAAGUCCCGCAACGAGCGCAACCCUUGUCAUUAGUUGCUACAUUCAGUUGGGCACUCUAAUGAGACUGCCGGUGACAAACCGGAGGAAGGUGGGGAUGACGUCAAGUCCUCAUGGCCCUUAUAGGUGGGGCUACACACGUCAUACAAUGGAUGGUACAAAGGGUCGCCAACCCGCGAGGGGGAGCCAAUCCCAUAAAGCCAUUCGUAGUCCGGAUCGCAGUCUGCAACUCGACUGCGUGAAGUCGGAAUCGCUAGUAAUCGUGGAUCAGAAUGUCACGGUGAAUACGUUCCCGGGUCUU